UACGAAGGGGGCUAGCGUUGCUCGGAAUCACUGGGCGUAAAGGGUGCGUAGGCGGGUCUUUAAGUCAGGGGUGAAAUCCUGGAGCUCAACUCCAGAACUGCCUUUGAUACUGAGGAUCUUGAGUUCGGGGAGAGGUGAGUGGAACUGCGAGUGUAGAGGUGAAAUUCGUAGAUAUUCGCAAGAACACCAGUGGCGAAGGCGGCUCACUGGUCCGAGUACUGACGCUGAGGCACGAAAGCGUGGGGAGCAAACAGGGAU
rnacentral:rRNA from 1 species